UACGGAGGGUGCAAGCGUUAUCCGGAUUCACUGGGUUUAAAGGGUGCGUAGGAGGGCAGGUAAGUCAGUGGUGAAAUCUCCGAGCUUAACUUGGAAACUGCCGUUGAUACUAUCUGUCUUGAAUAUUGUGGAGGUGAGCGGAAUAUGUCAUGUAGCGGUGAAAUGCUUAGAUAUGACAUAGAACACCCAUUGCGAAGGCAGCUCACUACCCGAAUAUUGACUCUGAGGCACGAAAGCGUGGGGAUCAAACAGG
rnacentral:rRNA from 1 species